rnacentral:rRNA from 1 species
UAUAGAUGGAUCCGCGCUGCAUUAGCUAGUUGGUAAGGUAACGGCUUACCAAGGCAACGAUGCAUAGCCGACCUGAGAGGGUGAUCGGCCACACUGGAACUGAGACACGGUCCAGACUCCUACGGGAGGCAGCAGUAGGGAAUCUUCCGCAAUGGGCGAAAGCCUGACGGAGCAACGCCGCGUGAGUGAUGAAGGUCUUCGGAUCGUAAAACUCUGUUAUUAGGGAAGAACAUAUGUGUAAGUAACUGUGCACAUCUUGACGGUACCUAAUCAGAAAGCCACGGCUAACUACGUGCCAGCAGCCGCGGUAAUACGUAGGUGGCAAGCGUUAUCCGGAAUUAUUGGGCGUAAAGCGCGCGUAGGCGGUUUUUUAAGUCUGAU